rnacentral:rRNA from 1 species
UCGAGAAUCUUCGGCAAUGGGCGCAAGCCUGACCGAGCGACGCCGCGUGCGGGAUGAAGACCUUCGGGUUGUAAACCGCUGUCGGAGGGGAGGAAAUGCCAUGGGGCUCACCUCAUGGUUUGACCUAUCCUCAAAGGAAGGACGGGCUAAGUUCGUGCCAGCAGCCGCGGUAAGACGAACCGUCCGAACGUUAUUCGGAAUCACUGGGCUUAAAGGGUGCGUAGGCGGCCCUGAAAGUUGGGUGUGAAAUCCCUCGGCUCAACCGAGGAACUGCGCCCAAAACUACAGGGCUCGAGGAAGACAGAGGUAAGCGGAACUUGCGGUGGAGCGGUGAAAUGCGUUGAUAUCGCAAGGAACACCAGGGGCGAAAGCGGCUUACUGGGUCUUUUCUGACGCUGAGGCACGAAAGCUAGGGGAGCGAACG